CCUUUGUACACACCGCCCGUCGCUACUACCGAUUGAAUGGUUAUAGUGAGCAUAUGGGAUCAGUGGAGACCGACUGGCAACAGUCAGUUUCUGCAGAGAACUAUGGCAAACUAGGCUAUUUAGAGG
rnacentral:rRNA from 1 species